rnacentral:ncRNA from 1 species
UUGCGGACAUGACACGUCGAUCCCAGUUGCCCUCACCGACCCGCAGUCCUCGGGCCUGCGGGCACGGAGAUACAUCGGUCGCCUAGGCAGCGGGGGGAGUGAAUGGCGAGACCGGCUUGUCCGUGA